rnacentral:rRNA from 1 species
CGAGCGCAGGAACCAGAUGACCCCUUCGGGGUGAUUCUGGUGGAAUGAGCGGCGGACGGGUGAGUAACACGUGGGCAACCUGCCUGUAAGACUGGGAUAACUUCGGGAAACCGGAGCUAAUACCGGAUAGUAUUUCCUUUCUCCUGAUUGGAAAUGGAAAGACGGUUUCGGCUGUCACUUACAGAUGGGCCCGCGGUGCAUUAGCUAGUUGGUGGGGUAAUGGCCCACCAAGGCGACGAUGCAUAGCCGACCUGAGAGGGUGAUCGGCCACACUGGGACUGAGACACGGCCCAGACUCCUACGGGAGGCAGCAGUAGGGAAUCUUCCGCAAUGGACGAAAGUCUGACGGAGCAACGCCGCGUGAGCGAUGAAGGCCUUCGGGUCGUAAAGCUCUGUUGUUAGGGAAGAACAAGUACGAGAGUAACUGCUCGUACCUUGACGGUACCUAACCAGAAAGCCCCGGCUAACUACGUGCCAGCAGCCGCGGUAAUACGUAGGGGGCAAGCGUUGUCCGGAAUUAUUGGGCGUAAAGGGCUCGUAGGCGGUUUCUUAAGUCUGAUGUGAAAGCCCACAGCUCAACUGUGGAGGGUCAUUGGAAACUGGGGAACUUGAGUGCAGAAGAGGAGAGUGGAAUUCCACGUGUAGCGGUGAAAUGCGUAGAUAUGUGGAGGAACACCAGUGGCGAAGGCGACUCUCUGGUCUGUAACUG